rnacentral:rRNA from 1 species
CCUACGGGAGGCAGCAGUGGGGAAUAUUGGACAAUGGGGGCAACCCUGAUCCAGCCAUGCCGCGUGUGUGAAGAAGGCCCUCGGGUUGUAAAGCACUUUCAGUGAGGAAGAACGCCUGGUGGUUAAUACCCAUCAGGAAAGACAUCACUCACAGAAGAAGCACCGGCUAACUCCGUGCCAGCAGCCGCGGUAAUACGGAGGGUGCGAGCGUUAAUCGGAAUUACUGGGCGUAAAGCGCGCGUAGGUGGCUUGAUAAGCCGGUUGUGAAAGCCCCGGGCUCAACCUGGGAACGGCAUCCGGAACUGUCAAGCUAGAGUGCAGGAGAGGAAGGUAGAAUUCCCGGUGUAGCGGUGAAAUGCGUAGAGAUCGGGAGGAAUACCAGUGGUGAAGGCGGCCUUCUGGACUGACACUGACACUGAGGUGCGAAAGCGUGGGUAGCAAACAGGAUUAGAUACCCGGGUAGUC